rnacentral:lncRNA from 1 species
GAAUUUGAACACAAUAAACUUAACCUGCUAAUCGAACUGGAAUCGAUCUGUUGAAGUUUACUAAAUCGAACUACAACAUAUGAAUCUGUAAGCGUUCCAGCAAUUUUACAAUUCGGAUGAACAGUAAAAUCUUUAGAUCCAAGAUCCGUUGCGAUUGUUUUAUGUUUUUGGGAUAAAAACAAAGGAAAUAAGUUCACGACCAGAAGGAGAAUGUCGUGGAGCUAAAUAUAUGAUUACUCGAUAUCAGAUUCCGGCUGAAAUGCAGAAAUCGCCGAUGAACAGUACAAUAUCACUGUUCACGCAUGCUACAGUACUUCACUAUUCUGGAGAGAUUUCUCGUCAAUUUAUGGCUGAAAUGCAGAAAUCGCGGAUGAACAGUACAAUAUCACUGUUCACGCAUGCUACAGUACUUCACUAUUCUGAUC